GCCGGGAUGGCGGAAUUGGUAGACGCGCUUGCUUCAGGUGCAAGUGAAGGCAACUUCGUGGAGGUUCGAGUCCUCUUCUCGGCA
rnacentral:tRNA from 1 species